rnacentral:lncRNA from 1 species
AAGUGUGAAGCAAUUUGACACGUGGUACUGCUCCUAAGGUUACUAGGUAGAGGGGUUGGUCAGAGGGGAUCUAGGGAAGUGACCCUGAGGAGACUCACCUGGAUCGCCUGUCCUACCACUUCGUCCGGCGUGACCCUGAACAAGUCACUUCUCUGGAUCUGAAUUUCGUCAACCAUAAAUCUUACAAUGUUUUCCUGAGAAUUAGCGAUGAACCAAUUCCAAUGCACAGCUUCCAGGGAUGAGCAAUGGAGGACAGAAUGGAAUAGAGCAGGAACUAAGCAAGGAUGCUAAUGCAAGAUAUAGCCGAGUGGGGCCAAGAAGCCACCCCAACUCCUACCCCCGGGCAGCCUGGUCGCCCUGGCCCUGCCCACACAGCCUGCCCUGAGGCAUGCUGAGAUCCCAGUCUGCAUCAGGGCUGCCCAUCUGCCUUGGUGCUCAUCACCUUGACAUGAACAGGCCCGAAGUUCUUUUCCAGGAUGGCAGAGCCUUCAGAACCAUCAACUCCUACCCCUCCAUCGUGCAGAGGCCCAGAGAGGGACAGAGACCUGCCCAACACCACAGCAAUGAAGUGGACAAUGAAGAUUCAAAACCACAUUUGCGGUCUCCUCAUUCCGAGAGGAGAUUCUAGAUGAGCCCCGUUACAGGAGUGUAUUUGCACCGGCACACGCCAAGGGACUCCAUCCCCAUGACGCAGAUGGCCCGGGACCUUCUUCCUUUCCAGGCUGUCCCUUCCUCUUGGGUCCCUGAGAGGGCAGUCCUGGUGAGGGCAGGAGAGGACAGCUAAGGCUAAGGAGCUUGGGAAAAGAUGUCCUCUUAAGAACUGCUUUCCAGCACAUGUUGUCCCACCUUCUGAAAUUCAAGGAGAUGGUUAAAAGAGAAAAGCCUUUCUCCGGACCCACCUGCAGCAUUAAGAACCAUGGGUUGGGCUGGGCACGGUGGCUCAUGCCUGUAAUCCUAGCACUUUGGGAGGCCGAGGUGGGUGGAU